rnacentral:tRNA from 1 species
UGGCCCAUAGCCAAACGGUAAGGCAGCGGACUCUGACUCCGUCAUUUCGUGGUUCGAAUCCACGUGGGCCAG